GGGCGUUUGGUCUAGUGGUAUGAUUUUUGCUUUGGGUGCGAGAGGUUACGAGUUCGAUUCUCGGAACGCCCC
rnacentral:tRNA from 1 species